rnacentral:rRNA from 1 species
GUGUCAGCCGCCGCGGUAAUACGUAGGGUGCAAGCAUUAAUCGGAUUUAUUGGGCGUAAAGGGCGCGUAGGCGGGGAGGAAAGUUAAAUGUGAAAUCCCGGGGCUCAACCUCGGAACUGCAUUUAAAACUUCUUCUCUAGAGGAUAAGCGGAGAAAAUGGAAUUCCACGUGUAGCGGUGAAAUGCGUAGAUAUGUGGAGGAACACCGGUGGCGAAGGCGAUUUUCUAGCUUAGACCUGACGCUGAGGCGCGAAAGCAAGGGUAGCAAACAGGAUUAGAUACCCUGGUAGUCCUUGCUGUAAACGAUGUAUACUUGAUGUAGCCGGUCUCAACCCCGGCUGUGUCGGAGCUAACGCGUUAAGUAUACCGCCUGAGGAGUACGCUCGCAAGGGUGAA